UGCUGAGAUGCAAGAACACAUUGCUUCAGUAGGGACUGCUUUUUGACUUCCAACCAUUCCUCUGGAUCUGCAUCCAUCGGUUUCCAACGCUGUGUAACACUCGGCUUCUGUAUCGGUUCUCCUUCGUAACUGCUGAGCUUUUGUGGUCGGUGUGCUUAUUCUCUCUGCUCGUUAGCCUCCUAGCAAAGAGAUCCUACUGGGAUGUAAAAAUUUGUAUGAAUAUAGCCCACUCUCCUGCAGCACUCUAAUCAACCUACCUGCAUUAAGUGAGGCUUUCUUUUGUUGACUGGCUGUUACCUAUUCUGUGCACCAGC